GACAGAGGUCUCAAGCGUUAGGCGGAAUCACUGGGCUUAAAGCGUGUGUAGGCGGAUUCCUAAGUACCUUGUGAAAUCCCCGGGCUUAACCCGGGAACUGCUUGGUAUACUGGGUGUCUUGAGCCAACUAGGGGCGACCGGAACAAACGGUGGAGCGGUGAAAUGCGUAGAUAUCGUUUGGAACGCCAAAGGUGAAAACAGGUCGCUGGGGUUGUGCUGACGCUGAGACACGAAAGCCAGGGGAGCGAACGGG
rnacentral:rRNA from 1 species